rnacentral:rRNA from 1 species
AUGAACGCUGGCGGCGUGCUUAACACAUGCAAGUCGAACGAUGAAGCCCAGCUUGCUGGGUGGAUUAGUGGCGAACGGGUGAGUAACACGUGAGUAACCUGCCCUUGACUCUGGGAUAAGCCUGGGAAACUGGGUCUAAUACUGUAUAUGACUUCUCAUCGCAUGGUGGGGGGUGGAAAGAUUUAUUGGUCUUGGAUGGACUCGCGGCCUAUCAGCUUGUUGGUGAGGUAAUGGCUCACCAAGGCGACGACGGGUAGCCGGCCUGAGAGGGUGACCGGCCACACUGGGACUGAGACACGGCCCAGACUCCUACGGGAGGCAGCAGUGGGGAAUAUUGCACAAUGGGCGCAAGCCUGAUGCAGCGACGCCGCGUGAGGGAUGACGGCCUUCGGGUUGUAAACCUCUUUCAGUAGGGAAGAAGCGAGAGUGACGGUACCUGCAGAAGAAGCGCCGGCUAACUACGUG